GACGAACCGUGCGAACGUUAUUCGGAAUCACUGGGCUUAAAGCGCGUGUAGGCGGGCCGCCCCGUCGGCUGCUGAAAUCCCCCGGCUCAACCGGGGAACGGGCACCGAUACGAGCGGCCUGGAGGGGGGUAGGGGGGUCUGGAACUUCCGGUGGAGCGGUGAAAUGCGUUGAGAUCGGAAGGAACGCCCGUGGCGAAAGCGAGGCCCUGGACCCUUACUGACGCUGAGACGCGAAAGCCAGGGGAGCGAACAGG
rnacentral:rRNA from 1 species